rnacentral:misc_RNA from 1 species
GCGCUUCUUUUGGUCCAUAUUCUCUGGCUCAUAUUACUCGGUUUUUCUUUGCUAUUUGGUCUUUUCUAAUUUGAAAGAAGCAAAAUUUAUCUUUCCUUUUAUUAUUUUGCUUCUUUUGCUGCUGUUGUAUGAGGCCGGUUUGGCAUAGUUAGACAUUGUGCGAGAGAUUUCUUUCAUGUAUGUGUAGUAGAAAUUCUUGAAUUAAUAACAAAUGCAAUAUGAUUCUUUGCAAAAAAAUAAAAGGAAAGAUAAAUUUUGCUUCUU